rnacentral:rRNA from 1 species
AUGGCCAUGGGGGGGAGGCGGCCGUGGAAGUGCUGCGACCAGCCGAUAUGCCGUGGGUGGAAGUAUCCGGUCUGCGAGUGCGCCGACGAGGUCGACGAGUGCGCGCCCACGUGCCACUCCUGCGUGCCGUCCAAGGCGAACGCCACCCGCAAAGUCUGCGAGGACACCUACAUCGGCAAGGCAGGGCCCGGGUGCACGGAGAAGCCAUGGAAAUGCUGCGACGAGCCCUUCUGCUCCGGCGCGGACCCGCCGACGUGCCACUGCGCAGACGAGGUCGAGCAGUGCGCCCCGACCUGCAAGACCUGCUUGCCGGCACUGCUUCACCCGUGGACCCGCCACAUGUGCUUCGACUUCUUCCAUGGCUUCCCAGGGCCACAGUGCAGGUACCUUGCUGCUGCCGACGACGCCGCCGGCGGCGGUUACUAG